GACGAACGCUGGCGGCGUGCUUAACACAUGCAAGUCGAACGGAAAGGCCCUGCUUUUGUGGGGUGCUCGAGUGGCGAACGGGUGAGUAACACGUGAGUAACCUGCCCUUGACUUUGGGAUAACUUAAGGAAACUGGGGCUAAUACCGGCUAGGAGCUCCUGCUGAAUGGUGGGGGUGGGAAAGUUUCGUCGGUUGGGGAUGUACUAGCGUCUCAUCAGCUUGGUGGUGGGGUGGUGGCUUAGCAAGGCCUUGCCGGGUAGCCGGGCUGCUAGGGUGACCUGACACGUUAGGACUGGACAACGGCCCAGACUACUACGGGAGGCGGCAGUGGGGAAUAUUGCACAAUGGGCGGAAGGCUGAUGUAGCCAAGCCGCGUGGGGGAUGACGGCCUUCGGGUUGUAAACCGCUUCCGCCUGUGACGAAGCGUGAGUGACGGUAAUUGGUAAAGAAGCACCGGCUAACUACGUG
rnacentral:rRNA from 1 species